GUUAAUUGACAGGAAAGUGGGUAAUGAGAGAAGAGGGAAGACAUUCAGCAAAGGUCGGCAGACCGGGAAUCGAACAUGCGACGGCUGCGUUGAGGACUAAGGCCUCCUUAUGUUGGUUGUGCUUAACCCCUGCGCCACCACAGCACAUCCCAGCUUAGCAUUUCUAGAGACUAAAGGAAAAAGCUGCAUUUGAAAAGUAUGAAUAAAUCCAAAUUUGCAGACUGAAACCAGCUGUUGAGCUACAAAACACAAAAUAUUAUCUAGUAUUUGUGUCUAGUUUCUACUGCAAAUAUCUUAGUGGACUUGUAUUAAAACAAAACUUAUAAGUAACUUUAAAAAAUAACAUAAAAGCUUGUUUCACCAAAUCCUUAUCAUUUAUCCAAAGGUUCUAGUAUAUUUUUUCAGUUUAUGCAAACCAAAAACCUUUUAUUUAAAUAAAAAAAAAAAAAAAUCAUGAAGCUUUGAAACAAAAAUUUUUAACAUAACAAAAUUUAUUAUUGCCGGUCUGUACCCAUCAGGUUUUCCACCUGCACAAUUUUCUGAUUCGCUCACAGACUAAAACCAGCUAAACAUGCAUGACCUGCAUGUUUAUCCAGCUUCCAUCUUAUCUACGUCACGCUUUCAAUUUUUACAAACAGCACAUAAAAAAUAAAUCAACAUAAAAUCAGGUGCAAUGGAAAAACAAAACAUUCAGUGAGGAAUCCGACAAAAACUCAAAAGAAAAACAAAAUAAGAAUUUUUUCUCAUUGAGCGAACACUUUGUUGCGUUUGAGUUUAUAGAAAAGUUCAUAAACAAUCAGCUGAAAGGAAAUCUCCACAUUCAACUUCAAGCUAAAAAAAAAAAAAAAAAAAAAAAAUGGAGGAAGUGAACCAGCAACCCCAAGUUAGUAAAACUGGAUUAGUUAAAACA